AACGAACGCUGGCGGCAGGCUUAACACAUGCAAGUCGAGCGCCCCGCAAGGGGAGCGGCAGACGGGUGAGUAACGCGUGGGAAUCUACCCAUCUCUACGGAAUAACGCAUGGAAACGUGUGCUAAUACCGUAUACGUCCUUCGGGAGAAAGAUUUAUCGGAGACGGAUGAGCCCGCGUUGGAUUAGCUAGUUGGUGGGGUAAAGGCCUACCAAGGCGACGAUCCAUAGCUGGCCUGAGAGGAUGAUCAGCCACACUGGGACUGAGACACGGCCCAGACUCCUACGGGAGGCAGCAGUGGGGAAUAUUGGACAAUGGGCGCAAGCCUGAUCCAGCCAUGCCGCGUGAGUGAUGAAGGCCCUAGGGUUGUAAAGCUCUUUCACCGGUGAAGAUAAUGACGGUAACCGGAGAAGAAGCCCCGGCUAACUUCGUGCCAGCCGCCGCGGUAAAAC
rnacentral:rRNA from 1 species